ACAAUGCGGGACUAUCAGUCUUGCAAUUGGAUUGAGAACAAUGUACAACUCUUAUCGAUAAGCCAUUGGAGGGCAAGUCUGGUGCCAGCAGCCGCGGUAAUUCCAGCUCCAAUAGCGUAUAUUAACGUUGUUGCAGUUAAAAAGCUCGUAGUUGAAGUGUGGGUGAUCGCUGUUGUGAGACUUCGGUCUCUCGACAGUAAGUCACCCCCUUCCAGUAUCCAGUAGUGGGUAUUCAGUUACUUACUAUUGUGUGUUGGUCCUUUACUGUGAGAAAAUUAGAGUGUUCAAAGCAGGCGUUUGCUUGAAUAGAUUAGCAUGGAAUAAUAAUUGAAGGCUUUCGUGUUCGAUUUGAUUGGUUUGUUCAUGGAAGCAAGGUUAAAAGGAACA
rnacentral:rRNA from 1 species